rnacentral:rRNA from 2 species
CCCGCGCGGCCCGGCCUAAACAUACAGUCGAGCGGACUUGUUAGAAGCUUGCUUCUAACAAGUUAGCGGCGGACGGGUGAGUAACACGUGGGUAACCUGCCUGUAAGAUGGGGAUAACUCCGGGAAACCGGAGCUAAUACCGAAUAACACUUUCGCUCGCAUGAGCGGAUGUUAAAAGACGGUUUCGGCUGUCACUUACAGAUGGACCCGCGGCGCAUUAGCUAGUUGGUGAGGUAACGGCUCACCAAGGCGACGAUGCGUAGCCGACCUGAGAGGGUGAUCGGCCACACUGGGACUGAGACACGGCCCAGACUCCUACGGGAGGCAGCAGUAGGGAAUCUUCCGCAAUGGACGAAAGUCUGACGGAGCAACGCCGCGUGAGUGAUGAAGGUUUUCGGAUCGUAAAACUCUGUUGUUAGGGAAGAACAAGUACGAGAGUAACUGCUCGUACCUUGACGGUACCUAACCAGAAAGCCACGGCUAACUACGUGCCAGCAGCCGCGGUAAUACGUAGGUGGCAAGCGUUGUCCGGAAUUAUUGGGCGUAAAGCGCGCGCAGGCGGUUCCUUAAGUCUGAUGUGAAAGCCCACGGCUCAACCGUGGAGGGUCAUUGGAAACUGGGGAACUUGAGUGCAGAAGAGGAAAGCGGAAUUCCACGUGUAGCGGUGAAAUGCGUAGAGAUGUGGAGGAACACCAGUGGCGAAGGCGGCUUUCUGGUCUGUAACUGACGCUGAGGCGCGAAAGCGUGGGGAGCAAACAGGAUUAGAUACCCUGGUAGUCCACGCCGUAAACGAUGAGUGCUAAGUGUUAGAGGGUUUCCGCCCUUUAGUGCUGCAGCUAACGCAUUAAGCACUCCGCCUGGGGAGUACGGCCGCAAGGCUGAAACUCAAAGGAAUUGACGGGGGCCCGCACAAGCGGUGGAGCAUGUGGUUUAAUUCGAAGCAACGCGAAGAACCUUACCAGGUCUUGACAUCCUUUGACCACUCUAGAGAUAGAGCUUUCCCCUUCGGGGGACAAAGUGACAGGUGGUGCAUGGUUGUCGUCAGCUCGUGUCGUGAGAUGUUGGGUUAAGUCCCGCAACGAGCGCAACCCUUGAUCUUAGUUGCCAGCAUUAAGUUGGGCACUCUAAGGUGACUGCCGGUGACAAACCGGAGGAAGGUGGGGAUGACGUCAAAUCAUCAUGCCCCUUAUGACCUGGGCUACACACGUGCUACAAUGGAUGAUACAAAGGGUUGCGAAGCCGCGAGGUGAAGCUAAUCUCAUAAAAUCAUUCUCAGUUCGGAUUGUAGGCUGCAACUCGCCUACAUGAAGCUGGAAUCGCUAGUAAUCGCGGA